rnacentral:tRNA from 1 species
CCUGAUGGCUCAGUCCGUAAAGCAUCUGCCUCCAAUGCAGAAGACCUGGGUUUGAUCCCUGGAUCAGGA